rnacentral:rRNA from 1 species
AACGGUAGCACAGAGAGCUUGCUCUCGGGUGACGAGUGGCGGACGGGUGAGUAAUGUCUGGGAAACUGCCUGAUGGAGGGGGAUAACUACUGGAAACGGUAGCUAAUACCGCAUAACGUCGCAAGACCAAAGAGGGGGACCUUCGGGCCUCUUGCCAUCAGAUGUGCCCAGAUGGGAUUAGCUAGUAGGUGGGGUAACGGCUCACCUAGGCGACGAUCCCUAGCUGGUCUGAGAGGAUGACCAGCCACACUGGAACUGAGACACGGUCCAGACUCCUACGGGAGGCAGCAGUGGGGAAUAUUGCACAAUGGGCGCAAGCCUGAUGCAGCCAUGCCGCGUGUAUGAAGAAGGCCUUCGGGUUGUAAAGUACUUUCAGCGGGGAGGAAGGUGUUGUGGUUAAUAACCACAGCAAUUGACGUUACCCGCAGAAGAAGCACCGGCUAACUCCGUGCCAGCAGCCGCGGUAAUACGGAGGGUGCAAGCGUUAAUCGGAAUUACUGGGCGUAAAGCGCACGCAGGCGGUCUGUCAAGUCGGAUGUGAAAUCCCCGGGCUCAACCUGGGAACUGCAUUCGAAACUGGCAGGCUAGAGUCUUGUAGAGGGGGGUAGAAUUCCAGGUGUAGCGGUGAAAUGCGUAGAGAUCUGGAGGAAUACCGGUGGCGAAGGCGGCC